rnacentral:rRNA from 1 species
UACGUAGGGUGCGAGCGUUGUCCGGAAUUAUUGGGCGUAAAGGGCUCGUAGGCGGUUUGUCGCGUCGGGAGUGAAAACCAGGUGCUUAACACCUGGCUUGCUUUCGAUACGGGCAGACUAGAGGUAUUCAGGGGAGAACGGAAUUCCUGGUGUAGCGGUGAAAUGCGCAGAUAUCAGGAGGAACACCGGUGGCGAAGGCGGCUACCUGGACCGGUUCUGACGCUGAUGCGCGAAAGCGUGGGGAGCAAACAGG